CAAUAGCGUAUAUUAAAGUUGUUGCAGUUAAAAAGCUCGUAGUUGGAUUUGUGGCGUACGGUGUGUUCCGGGCACUUGUUGUCUGAGUAACCUGCUGUUGCCAUCCUUGGGUGGAACCUGUGUGGCAUUAGGUUGUCGUGCAGGGGAUGCCCAUCAUUUACUGUGAAAAAAUUAGAGUGUUCAAAGCAGGCUUAUGCCGUUGAAUAUAUUAGCAUGGAAUAAUGAGAUAGGACUUUUUUGCUAUUUUGUUGGUUUGCGCAAAGAGGUAAUGAUUAAUAGGGACAGUUGGGGGUAUUCGUAUUCCAUUGUCAGAGGUGAAAUUCUUGGAUUUUUGGAAAACGAACUACUGCGAAAGCAUUUACCAAGGAUGUUUUCAUUAA
rnacentral:rRNA from 1 species